UACGUAGGGUGCAAGCGUUGUCCGGAAUUAUUGGGCGUAAAGAGCUCGUAGGCGGCCUGUUGCGUCCGCUGUGAAAGCCCGGGGCUUAACCCCGGGUCGGCAGUGGAUACGGGCAGGCUAGAGGUAGGUAGGGGAGAAUGGAAUUCCCGGUGUAGCGGUGAAAUGCGCAGAUAUCGGGAGGAACACCGGUGGCGAAGGCGGUUCUCUGGGCCUUACCUGACGCUCAUGUGCGAAAGCGUGGGGAGCAAACAGG
rnacentral:rRNA from 1 species